rnacentral:rRNA from 1 species
UAGGGAAUCUUCGGCAAUGGACGAAAGCCUGACUGAGCAACGCCGCGUGAGUGAAGAAGGUUUUCGGAUCGUAAAACUCUGUUGUUAGAGAAGAACAAGGACGUUAGUAACUGAACGUCCCCUGACGGUAUCUAACCAGAAAGCCACGGCUAACUACGUGCCAGCAGCGGCGGUAAUACGUAGGUGGCAAGCGUUGUCCGGAUUUAUUGGGCGUAAAGGGAGCGCAGGCGGUUUCUUAAGUCUGAUGUGAAAGCCCCCGGCUCAACCGGGGAGGGUCAUUGGAAACUGGGAGACUUGGGUGCAGAAGAGGGGAGUGGAAUUCCAUGUGUAGCGGUGAAAUGCGUAGAUAUAUGGAGGAACACCAGUGGCGAAGGCGGCUCUCUGGUCUGUACCUGACGCUGAGGCUCGAAAGCGUGGGGAGCAAACAGG